CGCUCUGUUGUUUAUCGUGAUUUGUAUAAUAUUGUUGCAGUUCAAACAUUUUGGGGACAAGGUUAUUGUUGAGGAACAAGUAGAGAGGAUGAUGAGUGAGUAUGCUGUGGAACCAAUAAAUGAUCGAAUUAGUGAAUUCAAUGUGGAAUUCCAUGGUCCAAAAGAAAGUAUUGCUGAGGGAAUAGUUGAUAUGAUCGUGUAGUGAUAUUGGGAGCUAAACUAAGAUUGUUCUUUUAUUUUUUAUUUUAUUUUAUUUUUUAUUUUUUUUGAGGACUUGAAUCUAUUAGUACUUUGUAUAAAUAUUUUAGGGAUGGUUGAUGGAUAUUUG